AAUACGGAAAGUUUGCUCUACAUCAGAAGAAGCAUUCACAAGUUGAAAUGGAAAAUACAAAUCUUGACGGGCCUUUCAAACGGAUGUAGAUCAGAAAACACAGCCUCCGGGAUUGCCAGAAGCAUGGAGAUAACCCAGAUCAAUGCAGCUUUGAGGCAGAUCUUCAUCAGAGCAUGAGAGGCCUGGAUAUCCAUCGGCCGGACGAUGGCUUUGUACCUGGGGCAGGAAAGAUGGAAUGUUCUGUGUAAGUUGGCUAAUAUUAUUAUGGAUGCCCCAAGGAUGGGGCAAGCCAGGCAACUGGGUGCAAUAUUUAAGGAAGCGCUCACGCUCAGGUUCAUGCAAGUGCUGACUCUGAACUCCUACUACCAUGACAGUGAGUGCCUCCCUAAAUGUUAUACCCUGAGCACAUUGCUUUCCUUAUCCUAGUCCUGGCUCUGAAGGAUGCGUUCUUGUUUCUUCACCCACAAUCUCUCUUGAUUUUAAGAACACUUCUCAGAAAAGCUGAAACUCCUUUCAUUUUUCUUAACUCACAGAAAUUAAUAGCAAGCAUGUUUAAAGAAGGACACAGGGACAAGGAGUUUGAGUCCUUUUUUGGCAAAGCCUUCAUUUUGAGUAUUCGAGUGCAGUUCAGGGAACCUGAAGUCAUUGAGUAUUUACACAUGCCUCUUCUCUUUUUCAAAGGGUGCAGAACAAAUAGCCCACUGAAAAUGUUAUACCAGAAGCAUCCCUGUAAGUGUCAAAUUAAUCUUUCCCCUGCCCUCUUGCAGUAUUUAGGUUCCUCUUGGUUUCUGUGCUAUAUGUGCCCCGGACUUGGGCUGAAUGCUCUGGGAAGCAGACAUUGAGAGGAAACCAGAAGGAUAAGAGGUUUAGUGGGGAGUCUUACCUGUGAAAGGCAAAAGGGAAGGAAGCAAGAUUAGAUGGAGGGUAGCUGUCAGACCCCAAUGCAGACCUGACAAGGUCUACACUAGUGAAAGUGACCAACCAUCCUAAUUUGUCUGGAAAUUUCCCAGCUUUAGCAUUGAACAUCCUACAUCCUAGGAAAUCUCUCAGUCCCAGCAAACCGUGACAGCUGGUCACCCUAUGCCAGCCUAAUGGUACCAAAGAUUGUCCAGUGGAGAAGUCCUGUCUUGGGUAGAAAUUGCCAGGCCCUUGUAUCACCACCUUGCCUAGUCAUGGGCUGGGGCCACCCAAAAGGAGUGUGACCUCAGUUACUCUCUGGUAUAGUCACUGGGUGGGAACUGUCCAUGAAGAGCAUGACCAUAGCUUGAAAGCUGAAGUGGACCCUGAAGGGACUGACAGCCACAGGCCAUCAGAUAACUACUGUCCCUGCAGCUGAGUAGUGAAUCUUUUGUUCAAGGGAGGUCUGAGCAGAGCAACUCAAUAUCUGCCACAACUCCCCAUACAACACAACACCUAGCACAUGAGCUGCUAUAGUGUGGAAGUUGAUGUGAAUUGGGACCAACUAAAUGUGAGGGUGUUCAUUGCUGAAAAUGCUGUGUUAAAACUGGUUCUACCACUGAUACUCUAUUAUAUGGUAGACUUCGGUGAUGGGGGAAACACUUAUUUCCACUUGCUUCCAUGUUGAUUAAGCUCCCGUUGGGUUACCACUCUUUGCUGCACCCUGAUUCCUCAUUCACUUUCUGCCUCCCUCCAGGGAAAGGGGAGUGAGUUAUUAAGAGGUGAGUUUGAAAAAAAGAACCUGGCAUGUACUCUGGGCUCAGAGAGGCCCAUGGUUGUCUAAUUGCCCCUGACUAGGGAAAUGGCACAUGUAAUAUAGGAGAUCAGGUGUUUGCAAGUUCAUUAUUGCUGUGGACCUAAGUCACAAUCUCCAAACAGCUUUAUCCGGCAUAGAAGCAAUUAUUUUUAUCAUUCUCUAUUUCUUUAUCUAGCUCUCUCUUCCCAGCUCAGGUAGAAAAGAGAGGGCUCUUACUUAAUGGACAUCCCCAGCAUUCUAGAACAAUACUAUAGCCCCACUUUAGUGUACCUGGGUUUGCUUUUCCAUCCAUAAAUUAGUUCAUUGUAAACAAUUAACACACUAACAUAAAAACUUCAAAGGAAGUUCAAUUUUCUUCUGGCACUUUCUCUAGUUACUGUUCAUCUCAAACAUUUUUAUUCCUAGUAUGUAGGUAAGGAAUUAAUAUCUUUAAAGGUACAUGAACAUCUCUAGCCAAAGAUAUCUCUAAUAAAUCAAUUAGAGAUAAAGUAGUAAUCUAAGUUACUCCAAGUGAAGUGAAGCUGAUUCACUCCUGCAUGAGGCAGAAAACAGAGUGAAUGGCUUACCUCCUUCCCUCUUGAGAAUCUUAUACUCCUAAGUACAAAAUGCCAUGGGAACUGUUGAGCUGCUAUUUCAAAUUCAUAACUUUUAAACAUAAAAGAUAGUAUAAAAGCAUUACUUUUAUAGUUUUGCCAGAAAAAUAGUUUGAAUCUAAAUCUAAAUAAGCUUCUAGAUCUAUGUACCAGUUUUCAGGAAAUAUGAAGAUAAAAGAAUCUGCUAAAUGAUGCCAUGAAGAUACAGUCCAAUCCUGAAUUGGAAAAUUCUGUAGGAAUGACUCCAUUUUUUUUUUCAACAAAUAUAUGGCAUAAAAAAGGAGGG